UGGCUAUUUGGAGAUACUAAUAGUCUAGCCUGCUCACUGAUAAUUUAUAUUUAAGAGCCGCGGUAUAUUGACCGUGCAAAGGUAGCAUAAUCAUUAGUUUUUUAAUUGGGAACUUGUAUGAAUGGUUGGACAAGGGAAGAGCUGUCUCUAUUAUUGUAUUUGAAAUUGACUUUUAAGUGAAAAGGCUUAAAUUUUUCAAAGGGACGAUAAGACCCUAUAAAGCUUUAUAUAUUUUAUUAAAUUUUAUUUAAUUGAUUAAAUAAAAAUUUUGUUUGGAUAAAUAUAUUUGAUUGGGGCGAUCAAGGUAUAAAUAAUUAGUAACUGAUUAAAAAUAAAACAAAAAUGGUUGGGAGAGUUAAAUGAUCCUUUAUAAAGAUUAAAGAUUAAGUUACUUUAGGGAUAACAGCGUUAUUUUUUUUGAGAGUUCAUAUCGAAAAAAAAGUUUGCGACCUCGAUGUUGAAUUAAAAUGUCUAUAUAGUGCAGCAGCUAUAAAAGAAGGUCUGUUCGACC
rnacentral:rRNA from 1 species